rnacentral:rRNA from 1 species
UACGUAGGGUGCAAGCGUUGUCCGGAAUUAUUGGGCGUAAAGAGCUCGUAGGCGGUUUGUCGCGUCUGCUGUGAAAACUCGGGGCUUAACUCCGGGCCUGCAGUGGGUACGGGCAGACUAGAGUGCGGUAGGGGAGACUGGAAUUCCUGGUGUAGCGGUGAAAUGCGCAGAUAUCAGGAGGAACACCGAUGGCGAAGGCAGCCCCCUGGGCUGAGAUUGACGCUCAGGCACGAAAGCGUGGGGAGCAAACAGG